AUGUAAUGGUGUGAACAUUUCCUCAACAGCUCUUUAUAUCUCUCUCCCAAGCUUCAUACAAAGAUUCUCUUUCUUGUUGCACAAAUGAUGUGAUCUUACCUCUUAAUUU